CACUCCCCUGUCACCAGUGAUUCUUUUUUGCUGACAUUCUGAAAAAGUAUUGUGUAGUCCCUGUGUAAGUGUUGACUCUCAACUUGCACAUGUGAUUUUUUAACACUCCCCGGACUUCUGCAAAAAACAAUUAUUCAGUUCACUGAUUUAGAUGGAAGGUAAACGAACAGAAAGUCACAGGACAUUCCGACAAAAAGUCACAGGACAAAAAGUCAAACACAUGUCAAACUCAGGCAUAAAGUAACAAAGUUGAUAGGAC
rnacentral:lncRNA from 1 species